CAGCCGCCGCGGGAAAACAGAGGAUGCAAGCGUUAUCCGGAAUGAUUGGGCGUAAAGGGCGCGUAGGCGGACAGUUCAGUCGGGGGUGAAAGCCCGGGGCUCAACCUCGGAAUUGCCUUCGAUACUGGCUGUCUUGAGUAUGAGAGAGGUGUGUGGAACUCCGAGUGUAGAGGUGAAAUUCGUAGAUAUUCGGAAGAACACCAGUGGCGAAGGCGACACACUGGCUCAUUACUGACGCUGAGGCGCGAAAGCGUGGGGAGCAAACAGGAUUAGAUACCCGCGUAGUCCCUGUCUCUUAUAA
rnacentral:rRNA from 1 species